GGAAAGAUAAUAAAGGACACUUUAUUUGCUUUGUACAAGAAUUAUAAGGAAAAAGUGGAGCCUCGAUGUGGUACUUCAAUAGUUUCAUCUAUUCCAGAAUCAGUUGACAAUGAUAAUACUUCAACAAAUAUGAGUGAUUUGAAAAGACAAGCAAUCAUAGCGAAGUAUAAAAAACAAAAGGCACAAGUUUUUGGUGAUGGCAAUAUGUCAGAAUUAGACAAGUAUCUUAAUGAAAUAGUUGAAGAAUAUUGUGAUACUUUUGACAUUUUGGGAUGGUGGAAGCAAAAUUGUCACAGAUUUCCUAUCCUUUCUCAAAUUGCUCGUGAUGUAUUAGCUAUUCCGAUAUCGACAGUUGCUUCAGAAUCCGCUUUCAGUACUAGUGGUCGGGUACUUGAUUGUUUUAGGAGUUCAUUGACUCCUAAUGUGGUAGAAAGUCUUAUUUGUACUCAAGAUUGGCUUCGGUUAAAUUUGCAAUCACUCAAUGUUGAAGAAAUUUUAGAGGAUGUGGAAAAACUUGAAAAUGAUUUCUCAAAAAUCAUAAUGGACUCGUCUUCUUCGACAACACCGGUGACAUAAGGAUCAAUGGUAUAUUUAAAUAUUGUAUUUUAUAUAAAUUGACCUUGAUACUAAGAACAUGAAGUUAUAUGAUGAUAUAAGUGUUCUUGUUUCUAAUUUGCUCACUUUCUAAUUUACUCACUUUCUGUAGUAUUGUUAUUCCUCAAUUUUUGUGGUGUUUGCAGCUAUAUAGAAUCACUUGCGGAAAGAAAAAGGUAUGUCAAAUUUAAAAAAAACACACAAUUAAAUCUCUAUCAAAAGCUCUGGUGCUCAUUUGUGUCGUUCAUUGCUGGCAACCUUGCCAUCCAAGCUAGCAAUCUAGCUCAAUAGGACUUGAUCAAUUAAUGUUGACUACUUUAUGAUAAUUUUGACUAUGUUUUCUGUCUUGGAACUGGUUACUUUGUUUAAAAAAUUCUAGCAUCUCAAACUUUUCUAGUGAAAUAUGAAUUCUUUCUAUGUUGUUGAUUGAACUCGUAAGUUUCUAGCCGGACAAAUGUGGAAUCUGUUGACAUAAUCCACCAUGAAGUAGUCCAAAAAUUGAGAAAUAUGAGUUAGUGAUCAGAAACUCUACAUAACUUGCUUACCUCCAAUUUCUUGGAUUGACAUCAGCUGUAACAUUUAAUGGCCUUCAUUUAAAGUUUGAAAAGCUUUCGGUUCUUGAACUUGUGAGGCUUUGUUGGCUACAUUUGUUACUAUAAGCUUCUCCCCUUAUCCAUUUCAAACUCUAACUAGGAGUCCUGUGAAAUAGUUUUCUUUGUCCAUUUACUACUUGGUCUUUCCAAAAAUUUACAAAUUUUCUUAAUAGUAGCAUGCAGUUUGAUCUUAAAAAUUUACAAAUUUUCUUAAUAGUAGUCCUGUGAAUAGAUGAAUUUAUGCAAUUUGAUGUGUAUAAUGCAGGUUUAUUUGGAAAGGAUUGCUAAGGACACAUAGCUAUGUUGGGGUUGACCUUGCUGCUUUCUGUUUUGAUGUUGUUCUCUGCUGUAUACGUGAAAGCUGCCAUCCAAAUUAUGAAUUUUUUAUCUUGAUGUAACCAAACAAUUGUGUGAAGUUUUUUGUAUGUCUCAAACAAGUAGACUUUGCUUCUUUUGUGGUGUUUUCUUAUUGACAGUUUUAUUUAGAGUUCUCUUUUGUGACAACUCAAUUAUGUGAUUGAGUGAAAUGUAUGUUUGGUUUCAUCUGAACUGAAUGAGGAUAUGUGUUGGUUUCAUUCAUGUGAGUAUGUGACUUGCUUACUUCACUUUUUACAAUAUUCAAAAUUUAUGGUUUGUUGUAAGGUUAGACCUCCAAAUUAUAACCCAUGUAAAACAUGUCUGAUAAUUUCUGCUAGGUUAAUCUUUGAUUGGAUUUCUUUUUCCUUGCAGAUAUUCGGCAUAUUCCUUAUGUCCAGAGCUCUAGCAUAUUCCUUAUGGAUUUAAGUCAGAUAUCUGGUCCUUGGGUUGUUGCGUGUAUGAGAUGGCUGCUCAUCGACCUGCAUUUAAAGCUUUUGAAAGCUUAAUGUAAUUUGUUUUCCAGUUUUCUGUAACUGAUCACUUCAGAGAUGGAAACGCACAGCCAGAUCACCUUCAUGGGGUGUACUUCUUUUAUGACUUCUCGCCAAUUAAGGUGAUUUUCACAGAGGAAAACCGUUCAUUCUUGCAUUACGUGACACAGCUAUGUGCAAUAAUUGGAGGUGUCUUCACGGUGUCUGGAAUUAUCGAUGCAUUUGUUUAUCAUGGAAACCGAACCAUCAAGAAGAAAAGAGAGAUUGGAAAAUAUAGGUGAUUUAAUGGGAACAUUUCUGAAUGGUUUCAUGGUUUCUUGAUUCUGAUGGAAUGGGCUACAAAGUAGAGAAGCGCUGUAAAAUCGUUAUUAUAGGCCACAAACUUUAGCAAAUUGUGUUUUUUCUUUUGUAUUUUUAUGUGCAGUGCAAACGAUUGUCUGAUGCCAAGUUAAACUAAAAUUAAUGCAAUGUUAUAUUAUUUUACAUGAUUA